rnacentral:rRNA from 1 species
UUGACCUCGAAUCAGGUAGGAAUACCCGCUGAACUUAAGCAUAUCAAUAAGCGGAGGAAAAGAAACCAACAGGGAUUGCCCCAGUAACGGCGAGUGAAGCGGCAACAGCUCAAAUUUGAAAUCUGGCCCCCCGGGGCCCGAGUUGUAAUUUGCAGAGGAUGCUUUUGGCGAGGCGCCUUCCGAGUUCCCUGGAACGGGACGCCAUAGAGGGUGAGAGCCCCGUCUGGUCGGACGCCGAGCCUCUGUAAAGCUCCUUCGACGAGUCGAGUAGUUUGGGAAUGCUGCUCUAAAUGGGAGGUAUAUGUCUUCUAAAGCUAAAUACCGGCCAGAGACCGAUAGCGCACAAGUAGAGUGAUCGAAAGAUGAAAAGCACUUUGAAAAGAGGGUUAAACAGUACGUGAAAUUGUUGAAAGGGAAGCGCUUGUGACCAGACUUGGGCCCGGCGGAUCAUCCGGCGUUCUCGCCGGUGCACUCCGGCGGGCCCAGGCCAGCAUCAGCUCGUCCCGGGGGACAAAGGCGGGGGGAACGUGGCUCCUCCGGGAGUGUUAUAGCCCACCGCGCAAUGCCCUGGGGCGGGCUGAGGACCGCGCAUCUGCAUGGAUGCUGGCGUAAUGGUCAUCAGCGACCCGUCUUGAAACACGGACCAA